CGAGACAUCCAGAUCAUGGUUCAACUGGUUUAAACUGCUCAAACUAGGAUGAAACCAUGAUAGAACCACACAUAUAACAGAGCCAUAGACAGCGUUUGUUCAUGUUUAGAUCGGUUUUAAAGACAUUGUGUGUAUGGUCCUUCAAUGAUAGACUUGUGAAUUCUAAUGCUCACCUUGGCAACCUCUCUCAAUUCUCGGAGAGGUCUGUUUGAUUGUAACCUACUGAGAGCACUGCUCAAAGCACCAACAGGUGGUAUUGGACCAUCAAGAUUAGCAGUAGGUAGAGAGACCUGUUUAUUGUCAUUUAGAAUAACAAUCAUGUCGGAAUCAAGAUAACCGGCAUUGUUCAUGGCUUCAUAAGCUUGACCAGCCGUCAUGGCACCGUCACCAAUAAUUGCAACUACAUUAUUCUUUUCUCCCUUCAAAUCCCUUCCAACAGCCAUUCCUGUUUGUGCGGUAGAAGAGUCAAAUCACAAAACCAAUUGUGCAUUAAUAUGAAGAGUCAUGAAUAUAACUUUUUGUUAGAGAGGUUAUUUUUUCACAAAUUAGAAUCAACUGAUUGAUUGAUUGAUUGAUUGAUUUUCAAAGUUAAGAAUAAAUUCAUAUCUAGGAUCCAAAUCAAUAAAUGGUUGUUAUGGCAGAGCAGAACCUUGAAUCACAUAAUCAAACAUAAGCAGCAGCACAAACAAGGACAAUCUCUAAUUAAGAGAUAAAUGCUCAUAACCUAUAAAGCACUGACGCGUACAAGGACAUCAGACACGACAUUGGCACUAACACUUAAACGUAGUCAUCAAUAAUAAUUUGAGAAAAUUGAAGUAAUUAAACGUAUCCACACGUGCCAGUGCUGCACAAGUGUCAGACACGAUUUCAACCUGAAAUGUUUGGUGCUACAUAGUAGCCAAAACACUAAUGAGUAGAUCUCAUAUCAUCUUCAAGUUUCAGUCUUCAUGAAAUAAUUCACUAACUAAUUCUUUAUAUAAUUAAACUAUAGUCUGAAUUUUUUUACCUGUAAACAUAUAGAUAGGAAUAAAAUAAAUACCUAGCCCUGCAGAUAUUGUUGUUGAGCUGUGACCAGUUCCAAAACAAUCAAAUUCACUCUCGGACCGUUUUGUAAACCCACAUAAUCCAUCCGUCUGCCUUAGUGUAUGCAUCUCUUUCCUUCUACCAGUGAGAAUUUUAUGAGGAUAAGACUGCAACAUUCACACAAGUUUGUAUAAUUAAGACUAGAAAAUCAACUAGUACUAACUACUAAUACCAAAGAUUAUUUUUGAAAAAAAUAAUAAUAACAACCAACCUGGUGACCAACAUCCCACAAGAUUUUGUCUUUAGGAGCAUUGAAAACAUAGUGAAGUGCAAUAGUGAGCUCUACAACACCAAGGUUUGAUCCCAAAUGACCCCCAGUUUUAGAAACAUUGAAAAUAACAUCCGAACGCAGCUCAUCCGCAAGUUGCUUCAGCUCCUACAUCAUCAAUAAAUGAUCUAGUCAUUAGAUUCAAAUUCUCAUAUAGCCAUGAUACUUUUUCCAUAGUCCAUAAUAAGUAUAUGAGUUGUUAUUGUACCUUGGUAGAGAGAUUCUUCAUAUGAAUUGGAUAGUUUAUGGUAUCAAGUAAUGGUGUUGGUGGUCUCUGAGAAUGAUACUCCCCCAUUUCUGAUAGUGAUGCAUACACUCCAAAUGACUUUUUCCUUACCUAAAUCCAUUCAAAAUAACACAUGCAUGCAUUUUUUCAGAAUACAAGUCCCAUCUCAACUUUGAUGAUAGAAAAUAACAUAAAAGAAAAUAUUGAACAUUCUUUUUUAAAUUUGUAAAAACUAAAGAAGACAACAAAAAAAACUAUGAUAACUAUGAAACUGAAAUAUGAACCAAAGAAAACAAAUUAAAUUAAACUUUUUAGUGAGACUAAAUUGAUCAAGAGUAUCAAGUUUGAACCUUAGUUAGAACAACUUUGCAUCAUACUUUACUUAUCAAACUCGAUGUUUAGUAACAAAGUUUGGCCAAGUAUGCCUAAAUCUCCCACUACAGAGUAGCUGUAGUUCAGUCUAAUUGUCAGGUGAAAAGAGAUAGGAUUUACAAUUCAUACCUAACAACUUACCUCUCAACCGAACUCCAAAUUAACAUGAAAAAAGGGAUUAAGACAAAAAAAAAACUUGGCAUCAAGGGUAUUCCUAAACUCACACAAUAAGUUUGAAUUGUGGUGAAGUAAAUGAAUAAUAGUAGAACAAUUCAUCGUCCUAACCUGGUUGAGUCUGUGGUGUGGGUGACAUAGAAGAUCUGCAGCACCCCAUUGAUAGUUAGAAGAAGCAAGAGAAGUUGUUCUUCUUGAAACUGUUGUUUGGCUCAAAUGAAGAGGGAGUGUGAAUAAUGUGCACAUUAGAGCCAUUACAGAACAACAACAACACAAACAAAAGAGAGAGAAAGAGAUGAAUGAAUGUGUCACUAUUUAAUUUUAUUAAAGAAGAUGAAGGUGCAGGUACUUCAUGCUACUACUAAUAGUGGUAUUAAAUGAACUAAUAAUAAAUUAAUUGAAUGACAAUGAAAAUUAAGGAAAGUGGGACUUGUGUGGUGUAUAAUUAAGUUGAAUGAAAGGAGUGUGGCUAUGACUAAAUAGUUGAAAUUGAAAGAAGCCUAAAUUUUAGUUUGUCUGAGAUUUAUUUUAAUAAUAUACAAAAAAUGUGUGUGUUUGUGUGUCAAUCAUUCAUAUGUUUGUGUUUUGAGUGGAAAGUGUUUGGUUUCGUUCACUGGGCCACGUCACUGGAAAUCACUAGUGGAUAUGGUCCCAAAUAAAAUAUGAUGUGUUAUGGAACUUUAAUGAUAAUAUUUAAUUAACAUUUAAUUCAAUGUAUCAAAAAAAAUAUAUUAUUAAAUAAAUCAUAAUAAUAAUUCAAUAUUAUUAUUUUUUAAUAUAAUUUAUUUAUUUUAAUAUAAUUUUAUAGAAACACUUAUCUUUAUAACUAUAACAUUUUGACUCUACAGAGAAAAGGUUAUAUAAGAUAUUGCUAAUUAAAGGAAUUAUCUUCAUUGUAGAUGGUCUUAAAACUUGAGAAAGCUUCAUAUGUUUAAUAAUCAUGAAAUAAAUAAAAAAUAAUUCAUCAAUGGUAUCAUAAUGUAAUAAUUUAUUUUAAAGAAAAUAUUAUUUGUUUAAAACUGUCAUAAAUAAUAGGUGCAUCUAAUAUAGACUUCUAAAAGUUCUUACUAUUUUUAGUAAAUCAGUUAAAUUUAUAACACAUAAAAAAAAAAAAAAAGAGAAAUGUAAUAUUUUAUUAAAACAUACUAAAUUUUAGUGAGAGUCAACCUUUGGACUUUUUCUGAAAGUCUAUAUUAGAUGCAUCCAUAAAAAUUUAUAUUUUGUCAACACAAAAAGACAAAAAUAAAUUUAUAUUAAAAAAAAUCAAUUGUAUCUAGAUUAAAUAAUUAUUCGAAAAAUUGGAGAGUUGAAAUUGGAGAUUUAACAGGUUGAGCGAAUAAAUUGUGAAGAGAAAAAAUGCGACAAAAAGAAUGUUAUGAAACAGAAAAUGAUAAAAUAAAAAUAGUGAAUUUUAUGUUUGAUUUAAGAGAAAGAUAAAUUAAAUAGAAUUGAAAAAAUACCAGUCUCAUUUUCUUUGGUUGGUUUGUAAUAAAAAAUAAAUAAAUAUAACUGCCUUUUUAACUUAAAAUAUUACACAAUUAUAUUGCAUGAUGUUCCUUUAUCUUUUAUUCUAAUUAAAGCAACCAUUCAAUUUAAUUUAAUAAUUUUAAUUUAAUAAUAAUAAUAAUAAUAAUAAUAAUAAUAAUAAUAAUAAUAAUAAUAAUAAUAAUAAUAAUAAUAAUAAAACAACUCCAACUUGUAAAAGUAGACAAAUUUCACACAGUUCCUUUAUCUUUUAUUCUAAUUAAAGCAACCAUUCAAUUUAAUUUAAUAAUUUUAAUUUAAUAAUAAUAAUAAUAAUAAUAAUAAUAAUAAUAAUAAUAAUAAUAAUAAUAAAACAACUCCAACUUGUAAAAGUAGACAAAUUUCACACAAUUCAUAUAUAGUAGAUAAGUUGCAAAAUACAAUUUUCGCAAGUCACACAAUUCACACAAGUUUUUAGAAUUUAACACAAUUCAAUCAAAUAAAAUAUAUCCAUUUUACAAUUUUCAUCUUUGACGAAAACUUUCUUUUUAACAGACGCAUCGAGCUACUCGAUUAGCUACGGCACCCGGUGCAUUUCCUCAAAGGUGUCCUAAAGUUCCUCCACCGAAUUGGAGUACGGAAUCAUCUCCAAAGAUCUCGGUCAAAGCAGGCAUAUAUGCCAAAUGUGACUACCCCCUGAAUUUUUUUAUUUUAAAUAUUAUGUCACUAAUAAAAAAAUGCAUAUGUUAAUUAAAACAAUUAAAAAAUAGCAUCACAAAGGUUAGCUCAUAGUUAAGUACUAGCUGUUAAUUAGAGUUUGUUUGUUAGAGAUUAUUUAAUUUAUCAUUUUACAUCCGAUAGUUUAUGUAUCUAUAAAUUUAUAAAUCUGAAGAGAGAACAAAUUGACGAAAAGAGUGGGAAAUGUCGAAAUGCGAUGUCACUUGAAAAAAAUUACAAAGGGGAGAGAAAAUACGAACUGCGAUGUCAAUUCCUCGUACAAAAAAUUGUAGAAAUAUUUGAAUAUAUAUAUAAAAAAAUUAAUAAUAUAUAUAUAUAUAUAAUUUUUUUUAAAUAAUUAAAGUAAUCACAAAAUAAAUUAAUUAACUUCAAAGAAAAUCAAUUUAUUAAAUAAAAAUCAAUUAUAAAAUCGAUUGGUUGUGUGUUUCUCAAUUGGAAAUGUUUUAUUGGAUAUGAUUUUGAUAUUAACCUAACCAUCAAAUAUCUAGCAGGAAGCCAAAGACAAGUUAGGCUACGAAUUUAUGCCUCCAAUUUUUUGUCUUAAAAUUAAGCCUCCAAAUAUAAUUAAUAAUAUAUUAAAGUGGUUUAUUUUUUAGUCUUCUACAUAUGUUCAAACACACGUUUAAAUUAGUUUAUCCAAAUAUAUAAAAUACAUUUUUAUUAAUUCAGACAAAAAUUUAAUUUUUUCUAUAAAAAUAUAGACGGGAAAAGAAAGUUUACUAUAUUAAAAUUUCAUAAUAAACAUAAAAGAGAUGCAUUUGCUCAACCGUUUAAAUGGAAUAAUUGUCGGGGUUUGAGCCUAACAAGACUAUUUUGGUAUCCAUUUUACCAUUUUUAAUUAAAAAAUUGUGAACAUUGUUUAUAAAAUAACAAAUGGACAUUGAUUACUUUUAUAAAAAAUUUGGAUAUUGAUCGUAACUAAAGCUCUCAAUAAAGUUACAAAAUCCUAAAUUUUCUCUAAAAUUUUUCAUAGUAAACGAUUAAUAAUAUAUACUUUCUAUUGAAAUAAAUUUUAUCAAAUCCUCGGCCAAUUAUUUUAUUAUCGAAAAAAUUUGAGAAAAUAAUUGAAAUUUGUUUUUAAAAAAUGGGUUCAUAGACCCAUAAAAUUUUAGAAUUAUUUUUUUUAGAUAUUUUAAACUAUAAAUUUUUUGACACCUACCAAAUACAAAUUGGCCCUAAGUAAAUUUAUGAAAUUGACAAAUAUAAUUAUAACACACAGUGGAGAUUUUUGGCGUUUUUAAAAAUAAAGAGAUGUACAAUUAGUUCUAUAACUAUUGUUAAGAUGGCUAUAAUGAUGUUUAUUUAUUUAUUUAUUUUUAUUUACCAUAUUAUGUAGUGAAUGGAAACAUUUUAUAAUACUCAAUUGAUUAAAAAAAAGAUUUUACUUUAAUUAUAAUUUCUCCUAAAAUCUUAUUUUAAUUUAUUGACAAUAUAAACUUUUUAUGUAAAUAGUAUAUAAAAAUUAAAUUUUUACAAAUAUAAAUUUCAUAACAAAAAUAAAAAACUUUUAAUAAAAAAAUUUGGUGCAUUUUUAAUAAUUUUUUUUUUGUUUCUUACUUUAAAAAAAAUCUAUCUCAAAUUUCGCUUUAAGCUACAAAAAAAUGUUGGGUUUGCAUACUGUGGACAGAUUUUAAUAUUUGAUGAGUGGAGGGACACGUUAAUUCCUAACAUAUGCUCUUCAAUUGCUGUCAUUAUAUUUUUCCAAACUUUAUUGGUGUGCACUACCUUGCAAACAUUGGGCAUACCUUAUGCCAUAAAAAAAUAUCACAAUCAAGCACAAAUGUAAAAUAAUGAUAUAAUGAAAGCUAAAAUAAGCUUUGAGAAGUUUAAAAUUCAAGCCACCAAAUUUGCACAAUGGUAACAAUGGAAAGCAUAACAAAGUCGUUGGCAUCUUCGGUAUUUCUCAUCAGUUCAUUAGACAAAUAAAAAGUGGAUGAAAAUAUUUUAUAGUUCUUUUUUGUGUGAUAGAGAUAAAUAGAAAAUGAAGUAUUGAAUAAAUAUAUAAAAAUUUAUCUUUAAAAUUAAUCAACAUUUUAUCAUUUUUCUUCUCUUUCUCUCUUAUAUAUCUUACUCUAUCAAACCGAUUACUCUCUUAAUUCAUCAAUUCUUUUGAAUAGUAGAAGAUUUUCUAGACUUAGAUUCAGGAUUUUUAUUCUCACAUAUAUUGAUACAGUUUUAUCAAAAAAUAUUUGUAACCUAUUUGCUCUACUCUUUUUUGAUUGAAAAUCCAACUUUGUAAAUUGCAUACGUCCUUAGUCGGUUAGUCGUCAUCUUACUAGUAGAAAAUACUUUGUAGUCAAUUAUAACUAGUUGGUGUGGGUAGACAAUUUGCAUUAUUCACUCUUAUUAUUAUUAUUAAAUGCUAACAAAUUUGUUCUACACAAAAUUGUAGGGAAUGAAUAAAACUGAAUCCCUAUUCAUUUGUAAAGUCAUGAUCUCUUGUGCCCCUCUAGUUUGUCCAAUAAUGUUGAAUACUUUUUGCUGCUAUGUGAGAUGGUGUAAACCCAGCUAAAGCCAUUUGGUCCCCAAGUGAACCAUGGUCAAUAUAAGUAUCAGGAAGAACCAAUGGCCUCCACUGCAUAAAAAACAAAAACAUUUGAGUUUUCAGCAUCUAGUCAAAAUUUAGUCAAAAUUUUAAAUCAAAUAGAUCAAAUUUACAUAUGAACUUUUUGUUAUAUUUUAUUUUGGACGGAGUAAUACAUAAGACAUGUAAAUAUUUAAGGACAUAUAUACCUUUAAGUUUCCAUCAAGAAGACCAUGAAGGGCCAUGAAUUGAGCAACAUGAGAUCCAAAUCCUCCUACUGAUCCUUCUUCCACAGUAGUCAGAACCUCAUGCGAUUUGGCUAGUCUGCGAAUGAGGGAAUGAUCCAAUGGCUUGCAGAAACGUGCAUCGGGCCACUGUUACACGUAAGCCAUGAUUUUCCAACAAUGAAGCUGCAGCAACNNNNNNNNNNNCUCUUUCCCCUUCAAUCACUAUCCUACCUUUUCCAAUCUAUUAACAUGUCAAAAUAUUAGCACUUCUUCUUAUAAGGGUAUUAAUGUAAAUGAUUAAUAGUUCUAACUCACCUCAAGAGGAAUGCCUUUAUUCCCUGGUGGUAUUUCAACGCCAAUUCCAUUUCCCAUGGAAAUGAAGGGCAAAAUAAAAUUUGAAUGCCUGUUUUACCAUGGUACUUGUCAGCUGCUUUUUCUGCAUACGGGUAUCCAUAGCCUUUUUCAGUGACGACAUGGAUUAGUACAGGACCAGUUUUCUCAGAACACUUAAGUUCUUCAAGAGUUGCAACAAGUUCAUCAAUGUUAUGACCAUCAACAGGGCCAACAUAAUUAAGUCCAAGCUCAUCAAAAAGUGUUGAUCCAGAACCGCCAAUCAUACCGCGAGCAUAUUCAUCAACUUUUUCAGCCAAUUCAUGCAUUGAGCCACCAAUUUUUUUGGUAACUCCCUGCAUAACAGAUUUCAUUUUAUACAGAAUCAGAAACCGAAACUUUUGCUGCUAGAAAAUUAAAUCCAGGCGAAUAAAUCAUAUGCAAUGCAGAAGGUUCAGGAUUCAAUGUUUGCUAUUAAUAUUUCUCAUUCCCCCUACAAUAUAUACUAACUAUUAACAUUUAUCUAUAAAAAAAACUCUUCAAAGAUAGACUUGGGAAUGAGGAACUGUACUAAUGCUUACCUUGGCAACCUCUUUCAAUUCUCUAAGAGGUCUGUUUGAUUGUAACCUGUUGAGAGCACUACUCAAAGCACCAACAGGUGGUAUUGGACCAUCAAGAUUAGCAGUAGGUAGAGAGACCUGUUUAUUGUCAUUUAGAAUA
rnacentral:lncRNA from 1 species